GCGAGCCCGGGGCUGGCGAUGGCGGCGGCGCGGGGGUGGGGCCGACGACGCGGUGGCCCUUCUUCGUGUUCCUGGCGGGGGCCAUGUUCUGCCUGAUGAGCAGCUGCGCCUGCCACCUGCUCUCCUGCCACUCGCACCGCCUCAACCUCUUCCUCAUCCGCCUCGACUACACCGGCAUCGCCGUCAUGAUCGUCGUCUCCUUCUUCCCGCCCAUCUACUACAUCUUCCAGUGCGAGCCGCGCUGGCAGGUCGCCUACCUCUCCGCCAUCUCGCUCGCCGGCGCCGCCACCGUCUACGCGCUCAUGUCCCCCCGCCUCAGCGACGCCAAGUACCGCGCCC
rnacentral:lncRNA from 1 species